GACGAACGCUGGCGGCGUGCCUAAUACAUGCAAGUAGAACGCUGAAGGAGGAGCUUGCUUCUCUGGAUGAGUUGCGAACGGGUGAGUAACGCGUAGGUAACCUGCCUGGUAGCGGGGGAUAACUAUUGGAAACGAUAGCUAAUACCGCAUAAUAGCAGUUAUUGCAUGAUAACUGUUUGAAAGGUGCAAUUGCACCACUACCAGAUGGACCUGCGUUGUAUUAGCUAGUUGGUGGGGUAACGGCUCACCAAGGCGACGAUACAUAGCCGACCUGAGAGGGUGAUCGGCCACACUGGGACUGAGACACGGCCCAGACGCCUACGGGAGGCAGCAGUAGGGAAUCUUCGGCAAUGGACGGAAGUCUGACCGAGCAACGCCGCGUGAGUGAAGAAGGUUGUCGGAUCGUAAAGCUCUGUUGUAAGAGAAGAACGAGUGUGAGAGUGGAAAGUUCACACUGUGACGGUAUCUUACCAGAAAGGGACGGCUAACUACGUG
rnacentral:rRNA from 1 species